rnacentral:lncRNA from 1 species
AUUUUUUUGGGUUGGUGAAUGUGCACUAGUUCACGUCAAAAAAAAUUUUCCUCUGCCAUUUUAGUUUUGUGUCGUACCCGUAUAGCACGUACAAAUUCGUUUUUAUUAAAAGAAUCAUCUAGCUUUUUGAAGCUAGACCUCUUUUAAUAGAACCAAAAUGCGAGCGAAGUGGCGUAAGAAGCGUAUGCGAAGGCUAAAGCGUAAGCGCAGGAAGAUGCGUGCAAGAUCUAAGUAAAUCAUUGGAACUUCAUCUCUACUAGUAUUUUCUUUGAAGAUUUAGAAGAUGUGAAGUUGCAUUCUAUUGAAAAAACGGAAAAUUGGAUCAUCAAUCGCAUUUUUUUUUAUAAAUUGACCUGUUGGUGUGAAAAAACCAAAAAAAUAUAUAAAAUAUUAAUAUAA